GGCAAGGCGGCGCAUGGCAGUGCACGCGCGCCCCUGCGAAAAGAAAGGUGCGUCGCCACGUUUCUGCGCCAGCAAUCUUCGAACGUGUUUCCAGGCUGAACGCUUCGCAAAGCAAGCGUGGGCAUCUGCCAAGCUGAGGGUAAGAAGAAGCCGCACCUCAGCAGGCUUCCACAUCACGUCACCGCAGCCGUCCUGAAUUCAACGGUACAACGAAGGUUUUGGCCUACAUAGCAAGAAGGCCUCUUCUCAAGCUUUACAACACGCCGGACUCGCCUAACCUCAAACCUCCCAAAGUUGAGUUGCGAACAACAAUGGCAUACAUGGAUGUGUUGUGCUCGCUCCUUUCAAGCAUGCCACACUAUCGACUUCAAUUCCUGGACGACGAAGCCGACCUUGACCUUCCGAAAAUCAGAGAGAAAACAGUGCACCAGGGCGUCAGCGCUAUCCGUGCCUGUUUAGCGUCUGUAACAUAUCAGCACAAGAGACUGCAGAGCGUGGCGCACAUAUAUUGCUUUUUGGUGUACGAGAGAGUGCUGCAACCCUGGGUACUUUAUCGUCUCGACCCAAGCCAGGACCACACCAAUCGUGUUGCCGGCAUCCUGAACACUGUGCGACGUAGGCGUGAAGUAGCAGGUUACACCAAGAAAACGCCAUCGUUUACGUGUACCUGCUUGCUCGCGCCCGAUGAAGUGGGAUGCAUGCAAUAUAUUCCUCACAUCUUCUGCUUCUGGCCUUCUUAUCCCUGCGUAGCCUUCCACCAACCACCGCCGGGCUUUUCAUCGUACGGCACAGGCGCGCUCUGCCAGAUACUGGGCGGACCACCGGACAACUUCCGCUGUGGGAUUUAUCACGGCCUGAACGAGGCGUUUGGUGCUGCAGGACGGUUAAACCCGUGAUGUGUGGCUUUCAACUGCUGCGUGGGCCGCGCAAUGGACAACUUGACCAUUUUUAUCUCGGUUUGACCAGCAAUUUUAUUACCAUAAAGACGAUGUCGCAUGACUGAAAAGAUGAGGCAAGAGAAGUCGCAGUCGACCAACCAGAAUUCCACGACCAUUUUUCAGCAGGCGUCCAACUCGGCAUCCCACGGUAAUUUGAAGUCAAUCGAUGUGUUCACAUGGGUCCAUGCUUCAUGAGCAAUACGUUCCAGCGUCGCCUUUGGUGUAACUCUCAAAACAGCGGAAAAAGAAAUGAUUUAAUGCGAAUCCGUUAAACUAGCUAUUGUUCAAUGUUUGCCCUUGGCUAUCCCAUGCGUAAUCUGUUGGCAUGUGCUUCAUCGUAUCAGUUUGUGAAGUGGCCUGGAAUGAGCUUGCAAAAUUUGAUCACAUGCGAUCCUUCGCCGCUGUAAUGCUCUUGACCAGUGCCAUUAGUACAGAGCUCACGCGUCUAGUUACAGAUACCACAUACUGCGGGUAUUUCAUGAGAUGCCAUGAAUUACCUCAAUAAAGGAAACUUUUGUUGUGAUAAA
rnacentral:lncRNA from 1 species